CAUGCAAGUCGAACGGAAAGUGCCCAGCUUGCUGGGUGACUCGAGUGGCGAACGGGUGAGUAACACGUGGGUGAUCUGCCCUGCACUUUGGGAUAAGCCUGGGAAACUGGGUCUAAUACCGAAUAGGACCACGCGCUUCAUGGUGUGUGGUGGAAAGCUUUUGCGGUGUGGGAUGGGCCCGCGGCCUAUCAGCUUGUUGGUGGGGUAAUGGCCUACCAAGGCGACGACGGGUAGCCGGCCUGAGAGGGUGACCGGCCACACUGGGACUGAGGUACGGCCCAGACUCCUACGGGAGGCAGCAGUGGGGAAUAUUGCACAAUGGGCGCAAGCCUGAUGCAGCGACGCCGCGUGAGGGAUGACGGCCUUCGGGUUGUAAACCUCUUUCACCAGGGACGAAGCGCAAGUGACGGUACCUGGAGAAGAAGCACCGGCCAACUACGUGCCAGCAGCCGCGGUAAUACGUAGGGUGCGAGCGUUGUCCGGAAUUACUGGGCGUAAAGAGCUCGUAGGUGGUUUGUCGCGUUGUUCGUGAAAACUCACA
rnacentral:rRNA from 1 species